GACAAACGCUGGCGGCAUGCCUAACACAUGCAAGUCGAACGGACAGAACAGGGAAGCUUUUCGGAGUGGAACUGGAAAGUUAGUGGCGGAUGGGUGAGUAACGCGUGGACAACCUACCUUGUAAAGGGGAAUAACCUCGAGAAAUCGAAGCUAAUACCCCAUAAUAACCUUGCUUCGCAUGAAGUAAGGAGGAAAGGCGGCCUUAGCGCUGUCGAUACAAGAUGGGUCCGCGUCUGAUUAGCUAGUUGGUGAGGUAAAGGCUCACCAAGGCGACGAUCAGUAGCCGGCCUGAGAGGGUGAACGGCCACAUUGGGACUGAGACACGGCCCAGACUCCUACGGGAGGCAGCAGUGGGGAAUCUUCCGCAAUGGGCGAAAGCCUGACGGAGCAAUGCCGCGUGAGUGAAGAAGGCCUUCGGGUUGUAAAACUCUGUCCUUAUCGAAGAGAGAGUGUUGUAGUAACUGACAAUACUAGGACGGUAGAUGAGGAGGAAGCCCCGGCUAACUAUGUG
rnacentral:rRNA from 1 species